UCGACGGCUUUUUGCCCAGAGCCGGCAAGCAUCCAAGGAGCCGAGCCGGCUGGGUUCAGCGGCUGCGCAGAGGUGGGAAUCUGCCUCUACGUACUCCCCGGGACAGCUCUACUUACAGGGAGAGCCCUUCAUUGCCCCUGGUGCAGGAGCUGGAGAGGGAAAAGAGGAGUUUCAGCGAUGCGGAAAGAGAGGUCUCUGGCCCCUGGCCCAGCCCUAAAGCUUCCGAAGAGCAGGUAGCCAAGAGGCCCACUGACAUCCAAAGAAUAGGCCAAAACAGGAUGCAAACAAACUGGAAGAUGCAACAUCCCAGAGACAAUAGGGAGCCAAGGGAAGAAAAUAAGUGGAAGUCACAGGGAAGCGCAGCGACAGACAAGAUCCAUGUAUCUGAGGCAGAAGGGAGCCCCAGGAAGAAAAUUCCUGGAAACUACCGGGAAGCUCAGUGGUGGAAAGGGCACCUACAUUACCUCCACCAUCUAGAACCUCCAGCUGACUGCUCCAGCUACACUCCUGCCUCUUAUUUCAGGAAUAGCACCCAUCUCCCAGGAUGAUCACUGCUUGUUCCUCCCACCUCCCCUGCCAAUGAGUUUGAUGAAGGGCAGCUUCAGCAGGGAAAUAGACAGAGCCACUGGUCUGGAGUCAGGAAGACCUGAGUUCAAAUGCUAACUAUGACCCUGGGCAAGUCACUUCACCCUGCUUACCUCAGCAUCCUCAUCUGUCAAAUGAGAUGGAGAAGGAAAUGACCAACCAGUCCAGUAUCUUUGCCAAGGAAACCCCCAAUGAGAUGCUCCUGGAAAGGCAGGAUUUUUUCAUUCUGGAUCUCCUUAUCUCCAGUACUUAGGACAGCGCUUGGGCCUUAUAGACCCUUGGUGUUGGAGGGACAAGCAGGGCCUGUGCUAUGUUGGGACUCUGUCAUUACAUGGAUCGAUGGGGUUAAACACAUUUCCCAUCACUUAGGCUGCCCAGCUCACGAGCAAAAUGGCAUUCCCAAGACGAGGGCCAUUCAGAGCAACUUGAGAGAUGUGGCAUUAUUACUGGAGCUUCCUGAAGAGAAGGGCUGUCUUGGCUUUCACAUUUGUAUCUCAGGUUCUAUUCCUAGUGCUUAUUAAGUGCUUGGGAACCUGGGUGCCCGGAAGGAUCUGGGAACCCUGAAUAGAAACAGGGAAGUUAGGAGGAGGCAUGUGCUUAAUGGGGUUCCCUUCCCUUCCCCUUCCUUUUCCCCUUCCCUUCCUUUCUUCCCCUCCCUUCCCUUUUUCCCUUCCCUUCCCUUUUCCCUUCCCUUCUUUGUUUUAGCCAUGUUAGGUUUGAGAUGAGAACCAAUACACAAUAUUGAUUCCAAGAUGUAAGGUAAGGGGUUAAAAAAAAAAGUACCAGAAGAGGACCCAAACCAGAGAGAAGAGAAGAGAAAGGUGGUCAAGAGGGCCAAAUGGAGCCCAGAGGUUAAGGAUGAGCACAGAUUUGGCUUUCAGAGACCUUUUGUUCCCUGUGGAGAUCAAGGACAAAUACAGAGGGGUUAGGGACAUCUCCUUAUCAGAGGCUUGAAGACAGAGACAGAGACAGACAGAUGGAGAGAGACAGUGAGUCGGAGAGACAGACAGAAAGACAGAUUGAGACAGAGCAUAUAUGGAAAAAAAAAAAGAGUAAAGAGGAUGGGACUGAAGUGUGUGUGUCAUUUCAUUGGUAGAAAGGAAUCCUAACUGCAGAAGCUCUGCCCCUCCCACCUCCCCCCAGGUUGGCAUCUUCUUAACAAUUUGUCUCUGAGAAUUACCUCCUGUCCUGAGAGAUCGAGUGACUUGCCCCCAGGGUUGCACAGACAUAUAUAUAUAUAUAUAUAUAGGAAAGACAGGACUUGAACCCAGAACUUCCUGACUUAAAGGCUGGCUCAGUCCACUAUACCACACUGAGGAGGCAGGAUAGAUUUUUAAUACCACUAAAGUAAAUUGGAAUAUAAACUUGUGGAGGGCAGGAAGGGACUAUGUUGCAUUUUGGUCUUUAUUUCCCCAAGUCCGGCACUGUAGUGGAUUCCCCCCUCCCUCAGUAUCUUCAAACACAAGAUCUGGAUGGCCCCUUAUUAGGGAUUUUCUAGAGAAUGCUUUUUCUGAUGUACUAGAUGGCCUCAAGGGGCCUUUCUGUCUCAGAGACUCUGAAAUUCUGUGAAAUAAAUCAUCUCCAAAGCCCCAGGUAAGACCAAAUCCAGCCUCCCUUAUUCCUUCUUUGAUGUUCCGGAACCGCUAGAAAGUCCUCAGAUCAGCCCAUCCUAAAAGGGGACUUUGAUCAAAGCAUCCCCACUGAGGGAAAGACACUUGGACUGAGAACCACACAAGUGAGGCUCAUGGAACUCCUUGUUUGCGCUUUGUUCUCUGAAAGGACAGGGAUAAGAGGUCCAGGAGCAGUGAGCCAGGCCAGUGCCUCUGAAAGAAGAUGGAGGCCAGUUUCAGUCCAGUAAAGAAAGACUAAAAAGAUUAAGAGAUAAAUGAGCAGGAUUUAGAAGGAGAGAUUAGAUUUAAACCAGAAUCUUGGCCAAGGAACAAUAUGGGGUGGGGUGGGGGGACAAUUCUUAGCCAAGAUUCAAGGUGUGAACUCAAAAGCUCCCAGAAUGUAUUUAACUCGGGGCAAGUAAGUAGGAGAAACUGAUUAAAAGGAAAAUGGUCCCCUUUGGGGCAGAUGGAAGGACAUGGAUGAGGGGCCAGAACUUCUGAGGAUAUGUAGAAAAAUGGUCGUCUGCAUUGCUGGAGAACCC